GGAGCUGAAAUCAGUCGAAGAUACCAGCUGGCUGCAACUGUUUAUUAAAAACACAGCACUGUGCAAACACGAAAGUGGACGUAUACGGUGUGACGCCUGCCCGGUGCCGGAAGGUUAAUUGAUGGGGUUAUCCUCGCGGAGAAGCUCUUGAUCGAAGCCCCGGUAAACGGCGGCCGUAACUAUAACGGUCCUAAGGUAGCGAAAUUCCUUGUCGGGUAAGUUCCGACCUGCACGAAUGGCGUAAUGAUGGCCAGGCUGUCUCCACCCGAGACUCAGUGAAAUUGAACUCGCUGUGAAGAUGCAGUGUACCCGCGGCAAGACGGAAAGACCCCGUGAACCUUUACUAUAGCUUGACACUGAACACUGGUCCUUGAUGUGUAGGAUAGGUGGGAGGCUUUGAAGUGUGGACGCCAGUCUGCAUGGAGCCGUCCUUGAAAUACCACCCUUUAAUGGCUGGUGUUCUAACGUGGGCCCCUAAUCGGGGUUGCGGACAGUGUCUGGUGGGUAGUUUGACUGGGGCGGUCUCCUCCUAAAGAGUAACGGAGGAGCACGAAGGUCAGCUAAUCCUGGUCGGACAUCAGGAGGUUAGUGCAAUGGCAUAAGCUGGCUUGACUGCGAGCGUGACGGCGCGAGCAGGUGCGAAAGCAGGUCAUAGUGAUCCGGUGGUUCUGAAUGGAAGGGCCAUCGCUCAACGGAUAAAAGGUACUCCGGGGAUAACAGGCUGAUACCGCCCAAGAGUUCAUAUCGACGGCGGUGUUUGGCACCUCGAUGUCGGCUCAUCACAUCCUGGGGCUGAAGUAGGUCCCAAGGGUAUGGCUGUUCGCCAUUUAAAGUGGUACGCGAGCUGGGUUUAGAACGUCGUGAGACAGUUCGGUCCCUAUCUGCCGUGGGCGCUGGAGAAUUGAGGGGGGCUGCUCCUAGUACGAGAGGACCGGAGUGGACGCAUCACUGGUGUUCGGGUUGUCAUGCCAAUGGCAUUGCCCGGUAGCUAAAUGCGGAAGAGAUAAGUGCUGAAAGCAUCUAAGCACGAAACUUGCCCCGAGAUGAGUUCUCCCUGACUCCUUGAGAGUCCUGAAGGAACGUUGAAGACGACGACGUUGAUAGGCCGGGUGUGUAAGCGCAGCGAUGCGUUGAGCUAACCGGUACUAAUGAACCGUGAGGCUUAACCUUACAACGCCGAAG
rnacentral:rRNA from 1 species